UAUAUUUACUAUUCCUCACAAACAAGUAGCCGUUCGGGGGAUAGAGAGAGAGUGGUGGUUUUUUCACUGCGAUCAAGACGCAUUCGAUGAUCCAAACUGUAAGCAUUGCAAUAAAUCUGUUACUGGUCUGAUUCGAAUUCUUCGCCGAAGGGAUUUUCAUUGAUUCGGCUAAGAGAUUCACAAUUGGACCUGAUUCCAAACGUGGCCUUGCUCUCUUCUCGACGAUUGCUUGAUUGAGAAGACAAAAGGUCCUAACCUCCCUCAUCUCUCAACCCUCCUUCAUGGUGCUUCAUAUCUAUGCUGAGGUAUGAAGGGCAGAAAAAUUGUUUUGGGUAGAUAACUUUUUCUCUUCUAGUUGAACUUGAAUCACUUCUUUCGUAAGGAUAGGAGUACACAGGUUCUGACAAUGUGGCAGUGAAGUUUGUAAAGAUUGAUGAUAAAAGGUAAGUGUUACGUUUAUAUUUUGGAUUCAAGUCAGCUGGAAUAUUCAAGAUUUUGUUAUCUAUGUUUUGUUCUUUGAAACAUGUAUUUACUAUGCAUAUAUGAGGUGCUUUUCUUUCCUUUCUCACUCGUAGUUAAUUUUUAAGGCAUGUUAUGCUGUUAUAUGAUAGUUCCUUAAAGAUU